UACGUAGGGUGCAAGCGUUGUCCGGAAUUAUUGGGCGUAAAGAGCUCGUAGGCGGUUUGUUGCGUCGGCUGUGAAAUCCCGAGGCUCAACCUCGGGUCUGCAGUCGAUACGAGCAAACUAGAGUGUUGCAGGGGAGACUGGAAUUCCUGGUGUAGCGGUGAAAUGCGCAGAUAUCGGGAGGAACACCAGUGGCGAAGGCGGCGAUCUGGGAAGAUACUGACGCUGAGGUGCGAAAGCGUGGGGAGCAAACAGG
rnacentral:rRNA from 1 species